GGCGGUAUAGCUCAGCUGGUAGAGCAACGGAAUCAUAAUCCGUGUGUCCCUGGUUCGAGUCCAGGUGCCGCUA
rfam:Criblamydia sequanensis, CRIB-18, WGS project CCEJ01000000 data, contig: 3